rnacentral:lncRNA from 10 species
GAUGAAUAUGAAUAAUUUCAUAUUCAUCCAAAGUAAGCUCCAUAGUGAAGGAGAAGUAAAAUCCUUUUCAGACAUGAAAAUGUUAAGGAAAUUCAUUACCACCAGACCUGCCUUACAAGAUGUCUUUAGGGAAGUGUUAAACAUGGAAGCAAACAAAUGUCACCUGCCACCACAAAAACACGCUUAAGUACACAGCCAAUGACACUAUAUUCUACCGUGUUAGCCAGGAUGGUCUCGAUCUCCUGACCUCGUGAUCCGCCCACCUCAACCUUCUAAAGUGCUGGGAUUACAGGCCUGAGCCACCACGCUCGACGGAUUGGUGGCGUGCCCUUGGAAAGCUAUCAGGAAUCAGGAUGUGUCCUAAGGGAGCAGAAGCCCAGUUACUGAGGAAGCUGUUUUAUAUUUCCACCUGCAACACAGAAUUUUCAGCUCCUGCUCUUACCUAAGGACUGACUGAACUGAGUCACCUAUCUGAAAAGAAUAUAGAUCACAGAUGGAAUCAAACAUGCGGAAGGAUGAUGGGUUAUGUGUCUUACCAUCUAAUGCCAUUCAAAGUAUGUUCCCUACACUUAGCCCACUGAAUUAAAGGUUUAUCUCCAUGGGAUGCAUUAACCAGAAUCUCAACCUAUAUUUAUGUAAGAAAUAUUAGGCAUGGGGGGAAUAGUAUUUACUCCCCUUGGUGCUCCCACAGUACUAUGUGUAUCAUCUGUCUGGGUAGAUAGCACUUAUAUCACAUUUUAUUAUUACCUAUCUAACUAACUAUUGUCCAAGAGAGCUUGUAAAUUCUCUAAGGACAAAAACUAUGUCUAACAUUUUCCUAUAGUCCCUAAUGCCUAUUAAAGCAGCUAGUACAUAAUUGGCCCUAAAUAAAUAUAUGUGGAAUUAAUGAAGUCUUUUCCCUUGCAAAACCUAUCCUUCUAACAACCUAUAUUUUCCAUAAAUGAUAUAUUUAUAUAAGUUUAAUUCCUAAUUAAGAUAAAUCAUUUUUUAGAAUGAGACAGAAGUAUAAACUAAAUAGUUCUUAAACAUGUGACACUAAAGUUAUUACACAAUUAAUUCACAUUGUAUAAUAACUGUUCAUAAUGCAUUACUAAAAUGUCACCAACAUUACCGAAAAGCAAAAGAUAGUAAAACACCCACAUAUGUGAAUUUAAUUUGAAAUUUAAGUUAAUUAGGUUGUGGAUGAUUAAUUUUUAUAUCCUUGCAGAGAAAGUAUUCAGCAAAUAUCAAACUUUAAUUGUGGAUUCUACUUAUGAUAAUUAACACAUUAAGCCAUGCACUAUUUUAUAACUACUGUUGACAAUCCAUUAUUCAAUGAAAUAAAUGUAAUUAAACAAAAUAUAAUAAUAGACUCUAAACUUAUUUUCUGCCUCUUGGAAAUAUUUUUAGUAAUUAAAUGGUAGAAUAGAACCAUGCUAUUAUGUUGGUGCCAGGGUUAGAGAU